AGGUAGAGGGGUUUUAGUCGGUAGGUCCGAGGACAUCUUCCUCGGGAAUCCGACACUACCCAGUCGUACGGAUGGCUGGGUGUCUUUUGAAGAUUUCCCCUCUUCC
rfam:Agrilus planipennis Contig54781, whole genome shotgun sequence.